UCUGCAGACGCUCCCACACUCGGUUGGGAAUCUGACGGGCCUCCAACGUCUUAACUUGUCCUGGUGCUCCGCUCUGCAAACUCUCCCAAACUCUGUUGGGAACCUGAGGGGCCUCCAAAGUCUUGACUUGGGUGGGUGUUCCACUCUGCAGA
rnacentral:pre_miRNA from 1 species